AGACACACUUGGUUUCUUCUACCUUUCCUGACAGUAAAAGGAUAAGGAAAAAACACAACAACACAGAAUUAUGGCUAAAACAGAUGCUCAGAGCUGAAAUGCUUUUCUCCCAGCAGGGAGAGCUCAGCACAGCAGUGAAGUGGUGAGAACAUAGCCUGGUUUGGCUUUUAAGCACUGCAGAGGGAUGUAAGGACGCCUAAGCUGCAGUGUGUAAAAUCCCCUCUUAGGAAUGAAUGUGACAGUUCUUGUGAUAGCUCUGCAGACACUGGAUGCACUGCAUGUCUGCGCAUGGAUUUUGGAGACAUCCGUGAUGGGAAAAUACUGCAUCCCUCACACAGUCUCUGGUUACCAAGGCAAAGGCAGCUACAUUUCCAGGAAAAGACAAAGCCCUGGCUCUUCUCCAAGUUAUCCAAGUAAGAUCAGAAAGCACUCCUCCCCCAGCUGUGACACUUUCUAAGAAGGGAGAAAUUGAACAAAACACAUCCCAGAGUUGGUGUCAUCACCCUGCAGACAGUUAAGGAGGUGCAUGACCUUGGAGAGGUAUGUGCAGUACCAAGUCUGGGUGCAGAUAGCAGUGGAGUUUACUGGAUUUAAGAUUCUUGGCCCUGUGAAGCCCAACCAAGUGUGUGCAAUGAGCCAUUCUCCAUUUCUGGAACUGAUGGUGGCUGUGAAGCUGGAUGGCUUACGGGAAAUCCUGCAACUUAAUUUCAAGCCUUCUAGAAGACUCUCAUCUUCUUGAUGCAGUUGGUGUGGACAAGAAAAUAUGCUUGGAGGUGGGAAUUUUUCAAGAGUUAUUACACAUAAAGAAGUUGGUAACUUUGGUUUCAGACAUCUCCUCUUAGGGAUACUGCUGCUUGCAGAUGAAGGGAAGCCUGGUUUUGCAUUGUGAGGCAAAGGACAACAAGGGUGUGUGGUUGUGAAUUCAAGUGCUGAGAUUUCAGAAAUGGAGUUAAAUAAAAACCUGCACAACUCUGCCUACAAGGAACCAUCACAGGAAACGUAAAGACUUGUCCGAGAAGUGGGGUUCCUUUGAACACAAGCAGACAGC
rnacentral:lncRNA from 12 species